CCUACGGGGGACAGCAGUGAGGAAUAUUGGUCAAUGGGCGCUAGCCUGAACCAGCCAAGUAGCGUGAAGGAUGACUGCUCUAUGGGUCGUAAACUUCUUUUAUAAAGGAAUAAAGUGAGGCACGUGUGCUGUUUUGUAUGUACUUUAUGAAUAAGGAUCGGCUAACUCCGUGCCAGCAGCCGCGGUAAUACGGAGGAUCCGAGCGUUAUCCGGAUUUAUUGGGUUUAAAGGGAGCGUAGAUGGGUUGGUAAGUCAGUUGUGAAAGUUUGCGGCUCAACCGUAAAAUUGCAAUUGAUACUGGCAGUCUUGAGUACAGUAGAGGUAGGCGGAAUUCGUGGUGUAGCGGUGAAAUGCUUAGAUAUCACGAAGAACUCCGAUUGCGAAGGCAGCUUACUGGACUGCAACUGACACUGAUGCUCGAAAGUGUGGGUAUCAAACAGGAUUAGAUACCCGAGUAGUC
rnacentral:rRNA from 1 species